rnacentral:tRNA from 1 species
GGGACAAUGGGGUAGCUUGGUCCAUCCUCGAGCGUUUGGGACGCUUGGACCCCAGUUCAAAUCUGGGUUGUCCCA